AACGAACGCUGGCGGCAUGCCUAACACAUGCAAGUCGAACGAACCCUUCGGGGUUAGUGGCGCACGGGUGCGUAACGCGUGGGAAUCUGCCCUUGGCUUCGGAAUAACAGUUAGAAAUGACUGCUAAUACCGGAUGAUGUCGCAAGACCAAAGAUUUAUCGGCCAGGGAUGAGCCCGCGUAGGAUUAGGUAGUUGGUGGGGUAAAGGCCUACCAAGCCGACGAUCCUUAGCUGGUCUGAGAGGAUGAUCAGCCACACUGGGACUGAGACACGGCCCAGACUCCUACGGGAGGCAGCAGUGGGGAAUAUUGGACAAUGGGGGAAACCCUGAUCCAGCAAUGCCGCGUGAGUGAUGAAGGCCUUGGGGUUGUAAAGCUCUUUUACCCGGGAUGAUAAUGACAGUACCGGGAGAAUAAGCUCCGGCUAACUCCGUGCCAGCAGCCGCAGUAAGAC
rnacentral:rRNA from 1 species